rnacentral:rRNA from 1 species
UACGGAGGGAGCUAGCGUUGUUCGGAAUUACUGGGCGUAAAGCGUACGUAGGCGGUUAUUCAAGUCAGAGGUGAAAGCCCGGGGCUCAACCCCGGAACGGCCUUUGAAACUAGGUAGCUAGAGUCUUGGAGAGGUUAGUGGAAUUCCGAGUGUAGAGGUGAAAUUCGUAGAUAUCAGGAAGAACACCCGUGGCGAAGGCGGCUCUCUGGGACGGUACUGACGCUGAGACGCGAAAGCGUGGGGAGCGAACAGG